rnacentral:lncRNA from 1 species
GGCUUUGCCGCGCUCGCUGCACUUGGGCGAGAGCUGGAACGUGGACCAGAGCUCGGAUCCCAUCGCAGCUACCGCGAUGAGAGGCGCUCGCGGCGCCUGGGAUUUUCUCUGCGUUCUGCUCCUACUGCUUCGCGUCCAGACAGGCUCUUCUCAACCAUCUGUGAGUCCAGGGGAACCGUCUCCACCAUCCAUCCAUCCAGGAAAAUCAGACUUAAUAGUCCGCGUGGGCGACGAGAUUAGGCUGUUAUGCACUGAUCCGGGCUUUGUCAAAUGGACUUUUGAGAUCCUGGAUGAAACGAAUGAGAAUAAGCAGAAUGAAUGGAUCACGGAAAAGGCAGAAGCCACCAACACCGGCAAAUACACGUGCACCAACAAACACGGCUUAAGCAAUUCCAUUUAUGUGUUUGUUAGAGGUAAAUGCUUGGCUUUCUGCAGUGCUGUGCUUUCAAGAAUUUAAUAUCCUGCUCUUAAUUUUGGAUGACAUAUGGAUGACUGAGCCAUAGAUAAAAUAUUUCUGGCUGGGUCUAGAAGGCCUAAA